UGGGGAAUAUUGGACAAUGGGGGCAACCCUGAUCCAGCCAUGCCGCGUGCGUGAAGAAGGCCUUAGGGUUGUAAAGCGCUUUCACUGGUGAAGAUGAUGACGGUAACCAGAGAAGAAGCCCCGGCUAACUCCGUGCCAGCAGCCGCGGUAAUACGGAGGGGGCAAGCGUUGUUCGGAAUUACUGGGCGUAAAGGGCGCGUAGGCGGACGGUCAAGUUAGGGGUGAAAGGCCUGGGCUCAACCUGGGAACGGCCUCUAAAACUGGCAGUCUAGAGACCGGAAGAGGAUGGCGGAAUUCCUAGUGUAGAGGUGAAAUUCGUAGAUAUUAGGAAGAACACCGGUGGCGAAGGCGGCCAUCUGGUCCGGAUCUGACGCUGAGGCGCGAAAGCGUGGGGAGCAAACAGGAUUAGAUACCCCCGUAGUCC
rnacentral:rRNA from 1 species